CAUAGGAUAAAUAUGACACCUUUUGCCCCACUAUUAUGAAAGUGUACAGCAGCAGGAAGUUCAGAGAGGAUGAAGUUCCUGUGAGUGUUUGUGACUGAUCUGCAGUGACUUACAGCUCAGAGCACUGAGAGCCUCAACAGAGAACUGAACUGAUCUGAUUGAACAUGGACAGAUGCUUCAUACUGAUUCUCAUCGUGGGAACAGGUUUGGUGGCUGGAGACAGCAUUGAUCCAGAUAAAGGAACAGACAAAAACACUGAAGAAAGAGAAACUGUCAAGCUGACUUGCUCUUAUACUACAAGUAGUGAAUAUAUUUUGCUUUACUGGUACAGACAGUAUCCCAACAGAGAACCCGAGUAUUUAUUACUCAAAAAUGCACGGUCGGCAGGUUAUUACGAACGCACCUCUGAUAAUCGAUUUCAGCUGACUGCAGCACGUACAUCCACUGAACUCACUAUCACUGAUGUACGUCUGUCAGAUUCAGCUCUCUAUUAUUGUGCUCUAAGAGUAGUAGCCCAGUGAUACAAAACAUGAGACAUGUCAUACAAAAACCUGAAGAUCUUUUCACUUUGAAAAUUCUAGUGAAAAACCACAAUCAAAACCACAAUCUAUCCAGCACUGAAUGUAAUAAAAUAUGUGGUCACAGCUGUGAGAGGCUGAAGCAGGCCUGUUAAAAAAAUUCCAAGAAGUAUUGACAAUAUGUUAAGAUAUCACAGCCUAUGUGGUUCCUUUUAUGCACAAAUACAUUCUUAAUAGAAUGUCUUAAUUGCUUGUCAUGAAGUAAAAAAAAAAUGGAGCAAUUAGAGGGCGGCUGGUUUGUUUAAUGGGUGCUGAGUGUGUACCCUGAGUGUGUAAUGUGUUUAUAUUAAAUGUAAAAUUUUCAAAUGAAAAGGGCAACAUGAUCAUUUUAUAAAGUAGGCCUAU